rnacentral:rRNA from 1 species
AUUGAACGCUGGCGGCAGGCCUAACACAUGCAAGUCGAACGAGUGGCGGACGGGUGAGUAAUGUGUGGGAAACCGCCCGAUGGAGGGGGAUAACCACAGGAAAAGGUAGUUAAUCCCGCACACCAUCGGAUGUGCACAGAUGGGAUUAGCUGGUGGGUGGGGUAACGGCUCACCCAGGCGACGAUCCCUAGCUGGUCUGAGAGGAUGACCAGCCACACUGGGACUGAGCCACGGUCCAGACUCCUACGGGAGGCAGCAGUGGGGAAUUUUGGACAAUGGGCGCAAUCCUGAUCCAGCCAUUCCGCGUGUGUGAUGAAGGCCUUCGGGUUGUAAAGUACUUUCAGCAGGAAGGCGUUACCCGCAGAAGAAGCACCGGCUAACUCCGUGCCAGCAGCCGCGGUAAUUC